CAUAGCGACUAUCGUGGCAUAUCAAUAAGCGGAGGAAAAGAAACUAACAAGGAUUCCCCUUAGUAACGGCGAGUGAAGCGGGAAGAGCUCAAAUUUGAAAUCUUCAAGGUUCUACCUUGACGAAUUGUAGUUUAUAGAAGUGUUUUCUGUUAGUGGAGUGGCAAAAGUUCUUUGGAAUAGGACAUCAUAGAGGGUGAGAAUCCCGUAUUUGGUCAUUCCUCCUAGCGUUGUGAUACACUUUCAACGAGUCGGAUUGUUUGGGAAUGCAGUCCAAAAUGGGUGGUAAAUUUCAUCUAAAGCUAAAUAUUGGCGAGAGACCGAUAGCGAACAAGUACCGUGAGGGAAAGAUGAAAAGAACUUUGAAAAGAGAGUUAAACAGUACGUGAAAUUGUCAAAAGGGAAGCGUUUGACACCAGUGUUGUUUUUCCGAAAAUCAAUUACGAAUGUUUUGUUUUUGAGGAGUUAUGACUUCAUCGGCUUGCUCCUUUCUUUACGAAACUUUCUUAAUGCACUUUUCGGUUAACAAGUCAACAUCAAUUUCUUUUGUUGUAAAAGGGUAUGAGGAAGGUGGCUUUCUUUUCGGAGAAAGUGUUUAUAGCCUUGUGCCUCUACAAUCGGAGAGAUUGAGGUCUGCAGCGUAGAUCCUUCGGGGUUAGAUACGUUUGUGCUAAGUUAUAGCUUUUCAUAGACAACUUGUUGACUAUGUUUAGUCUUGUAGCUUACUCGCUGACGCUAUUUUACCUACGCUUAGGAUGUUGAUAGUCACAGCGUGUAC
rnacentral:rRNA from 1 species